CUCUGAGCGUGCCGUUAUUCCCGGAGGCUUGACUAAAGAACUCCAACCGCUGGACAUCGGCAUCAACCGGUUGUUCAAAGAAAUGUUGCGACCGGGCGUUCAAAGUAAAGUUGCGAACGGCAUGGGAACAAUGGAUGAUCGAUGGCAAACACAACUUUACAAAGAGUGAGAGGCAGCGCUGGGCGAGUUACGCCACGAUUUGCGAAUGGAUUGCGGCUGCUUGGACGAACGUGUCUGUUUGCACUGUUGUUCGAGUUUUUGGCAAAGCCGGCAUCAUUUCUGUGGAGCCACAUGGCAAUGAGAGUGACUCUGACAACGAGAGGGAACCCGGCGUUUUUGAUGGAUUACCGGUACUUGCACAAUUGUUCAAUUGUGAUACAGAAGAUGAGGACUUUGAUGGAUUUCUGGGUGAUGAUUGAUCGAAAAACGUGAGUACAUUGUACGAUGGCCAAAUAAAAUACAACGGAAGUCAAUUUUGCUUCCGUUGCCUUUUUAAAAACGUGUCUUUAGCUUAUAUCUGUAUGUCUUGGCAUGCUACCGUAUGCUUCAAGCUAACGUGUUUUUAGCGUGCGCGCAUGCAUGCCGUAUGGUUAAGCUGGUGUAUGUUUUACCACUUUAAAACUGCGGCCAAUAAUACAGUGUGGUUUGUCUAUGUGUAAAAUACAGAAAUAGCACCCAUUAAUGAGACUGCGCCCAACCAUACGGUGCGCCGAAUGGUCGUGAAAAUACGGUAAUUA